GUUAUAUUGAGCCAUCUAACGUGUCAUAUGAUAUUUUGUAGUAUUUAUUUGGGCAAAUGAACAGGAAAGGGAUCCACGCAGGACACAACGAACUGGGAAAGUAGAAAGUUGCCCAUGCAUUUUGAUGCUCAGGAUCGAAGAAAAACAAACUGCUACACCUUCUCCCCACAGAACAACCCUCCCAAAAGUAGUAAAUUAAAAUUAAAAAAAAAAACAAAAAAUAUA
rnacentral:misc_RNA from 1 species